rnacentral:rRNA from 1 species
GAUGAACGCUGGCGGCGUGCCUAAUACAUGCAAGUCGAGCGAACAGACGAGGAGCUUGCUCCUCUGACGUUAGCGGCGGACGGGUGAGUAACACGUGGAUAACCUACCUAUAAGACUGGGAUAACUUCGGGAAACCGGAGCUAAUACCGGAUAAUAUCUUGAACCGCAUGGUUCAAUAGUGAAAGACGGUUUUGCUGUCACUUAUAGAUGGAUCCGCGCCGCAUUAGCUAGUUGGUAAGGUAACGGCUUACCAAGGCAACGAUGCGUAGCCGACCUGAGAGAGUGAUAGGCGACCUUGGAACUGAGACACGGUCAAGACUACUACGGGAGGCAGCAGUAGGGAAUGUUCCGCAAUGGGCGAAAGCUUGACGGAGCAACGCCGCGUGAGUGAUGACGGUCUUCGGAUCGUAAAACUCUGUUAUUAGGGAAGAACAAAUGUGUAAGUAACUAUGCACGUCUUGACGGUAACUAAUAAGAAAGCAACGGCUAACUACGUG